rnacentral:other from 1 species
GGUCUGCUGUGGCUCACGUCGAAGGCAACCUAAUUCCUCCGACCUUAAUUGUCUCAAAGGGAGCUGUCCCUGUCCGGCGCCGUGGCCCCGGACACAUGGCGCCCACCUGGUUAUCCAGGUCCGAGGGGAUUAAAAUCGUCCUUCACGGUUCUCACGGCGCCGC